GUGGGAACAGCUCAGUGGUAGAGUGCAUGCUUACCAUGCAUGAGGUUCCUGGGUUCAAUCCCCAGUACCUCCU
rnacentral:tRNA from 1 species